rnacentral:lncRNA from 1 species
GAGACCACAGCUAAACCCCGUCUCUACUAAAAAUAGAAGGUAAAAUUUAAAAUUACAAUUGCAAUAAAUGAAAGGUCAAAGUGAUACUGAGUAAGAUUUUAGAGAAGAGUGAGGGAAAAGGCAGAGGUUGCAGUGACCUGAGAAUGCUCCAUUGCACUCCAGCCUGGGCAACAAGAGCGAAACUCCAUCUCAAAAAAAAAAAAAGAAAAGAAAAGAAAAACGAAAAUGGAGUGGAGGAGAUGAAGGAGUGCAUUGCAGCAGAAGAGCAAU